rnacentral:rRNA from 1 species
AUACGUAGGGUGCAAGCGUUAAUCGGAAUUACUGGCGUAAAGCGUGCGCAGGCGGGUUUGUAAGACAGUGGUGAAAUCCCCGGGCUCAACCUGGGAACUGCCAUUGUGACUGCAAGGCUGGAGUGCGGCAGAGGGGGAUGGAAUUUCGCGUGUAGGAGUGAAAUGCGGAGAUAUGCGGGGGAACACCGAUGGCGAAGGCAAUCCCCUGGGCCUGCACUGACGCUCAUGCACGAAAGCGUGGGGAGCAAACAGGAUUAGAUACCCUGGUAGUCCACGCCCUAAACGAUGUCAACUGGUUGUUGGGGAUUUAUUUUCUCAGUAACGAAGCUAACGCGUGAAGUUGACCGCCUGGGGAGUACGGCCGCAAGGUUAAAACUCAAAGGAAUUGACGGGG